rnacentral:rRNA from 1 species
YYUGGUCAUUUAGAGGAAGUAAAAGUCGUAACAARGUUCCCUUCCCCGCUCAGCACGGAGACCUUGCAACCCUUAGGGGAGGCAGCACGACAGUAACAAAGCUUGCCGUUUGCAAGUCGGCCAAUCGGUCGGCAACACAAUCGAUUGACGGGGACCUCCUAAAGCCUGUAACACCAACCGUCCGGGGAAACUGGGCGGGGCCCUCACGGGGUGGUAAGAGAGUACAGGAUGUAACAAUGGAAAUCCGCAGCGAAGACCCUACCGGCUCCGGCCCACGGGUACCGUUCACAACUAAGUGAUUGUGGGCGGGGCGAUCGUGCCCUGUCUAAGAUAUAGUCGACUCUACCCGAAAGGAUAGAGGAUAGCAUGUCCGUAGGUGAACCUGCGGAGGAUCAUUAAAGAAUGCCCCGUUUUUUGAAAUGGGUUCUAUUCCCAAACGUGUACACAUACCUUUGUUGCUUUGGCAGGCCGCCUUCGGGCGUCGGCCACGCUGACCCGCGCCUGCCAGAGGACCCAAACUCGAUUGUUUAGUGAUUCUGAGUACUAUAUAAUAGUUAAAACUUUCAACAACGGAUCUCUUGGUUUGGCAUCGAUGAAGAACGCAGCGAAAUGCGAUAAGUAAUGUGAAUUGCAAAUUCAGUGAAUCAUCGAAUCUUUGAACGCACAUUGCGCCCCUUGGUAUCCGAGGGGCAUGCCUGUUCGAGCGUCAUUAUGACCACUCAAGCCUAGCUGGUAUUGGGGUUCGCGGUCUCGCGGCCCUUAAAAUCAGUGGCGGUGCCACUGGCUCUAAGCGUAGUAAUUCAUCUCGCUAUUGGGUCCGGUGGUUGCUGCCAACAACCCCCAACUUCUAAGGUUGACCUCGGAUCASGUAGGGAUACCGCUGAACUUAAGCAUAUCAAUAAGCGGAGGA